AGUCGCUGACUAGGCUCAGCUGUCCGAUUCGCCUGGGCGGCUCCGCCCGACGCCGACGUCCUGCGACAGUGCGACUUCGACGACGUCCUCCUCCGCCCGACGCAGCCGAGGCGCCGAUCUGUUCGCUGCGUUGAUUUGUUCGGGGAUUUCGGGGACCCGGCGAAAUCGGGGCCGCGGCCGGGUGCAUUCCAGCCAUCCCCGCCCCCGCCCCGCCCCGUUGCCAGGGAGGGGCGACCACCACAGUACCACACCAUGGCGUGAAGUGAAGAAAAAAAGAUGGCGGCGCUGCGAGUGCCGCUCCAAGCAAUCCUCUUCGGCGGCACGCGCGCGGGCGGGCCGCGGCUGCCCCUCCUCCAACUCCUGCCGCUCCACGCGCACCUCCUCGCCUCGGGCCGCCUCGCCGCCUCCCCGGCGGCGCUCACGUCCCUCGUCUCGCUCUACGUGCGCGCCCCGCCGGCGCUCCACCGCGCCGUCGUGCCGCUCCUCCCGCCUCGCCUUCCCCUCCUCCGCUCCCCUGCUUCAACGCCGCGCUCUCCCUGCCCCACCCGCUCGCGCUCUGGGUGUUCGGCCACCUCCGCCUCGCGCAUUGCCCCGACGCCCUCUCCUUCCCUCCACUGAUCUCCUCCGCGCCCUCGGCGUCCCAGUUACUCGCGCUCCACGCGCUCUCGUUCCGAUGCGGCCUCGCGCACGAACUCUUUUGCGCCAGCUCGCUGCUGCGCGCGUGCCUCCGGUUCGGCCUGGCGAACCACGCGCGCCGCCUGUUCGGCGAAUUGCCACACCGGGACGUCGUGGUGUGGAACGCGAUGGUCAAUGGGUUUGCCAAGCUCGGGUGCUUCGACCACGCCGUUGAGUGCUUCCGCAUGAUGAGGGAGGAGGGUGAGGUCGAGAUCAGUGGCUUCACUGUCACUGGUAUAUUGUCAGUCUGCACCGCCACGGCGGAUUUGGGACGUGGGGCUGCAGUUCAUGGCCUCGUAGUGAAGUCUGCGUUUGACCAGGAGGUGCCGGUGUGCAAUGCCUUGGUGGAUCUUUACGGGAAGUGCCACAAGGUGGAUGAUGCGUCAAGGGUGUUUGAGGGGAUGGCAGACAUGGACAAGGACCUAUUCAGCUGGAACUCAAUGCUGUCAGCGCUGCACUAUCUGGUACGAUUAAGCUAUUUUCAAGGAUGAGAUGUGUUGCGUUGUGGCCAAAUGCAGUGACCGUUGCGGCUGUUCUUCCUGCAUGUGCUCAGACUGCAGCAUUGCAGGUGGGAAGGGAGGUUCAUGGGUACACUGUGACUAGCGGACUGGAUUGCCUUGGCUUAUUGGACGUGUUCGCCUGUAAUGCACUGGUGGACAUGUAUGCUAAGGGUGGAGCUUCGGAUGAGGCUCAUCGUGUAUUUGACCGGAUGCAACAGCGGGACGUGGCAUCAUGGAAUAUUAUGAUUGAUGGAUAUGCAUCUUAUGGGCAUGGGAAGGAAGCAUUAGAGUUGUUCUGCCAGAUGACAGAGGUGGAACGGAUUCUGCCAGAUGAGAUAACGCUGCUGGGGGCAUUGUCAGCUUGCAACCACUCUGGGCUUGUCAAGGAAGGGAAGGAUUUUCUAAGGAGAAUGAAAGAUGAAUUUUGUUUGGAGCCACAGCUAGAGCACUAUGCAUGUGUGACUGACAUGCUUGGGCGUGCAGGAAGGCUGGAUGAAGCUAGAAAGGUAGUAGAGGAUGCAGGUGCUGUGGGGGUUGGUGCAUGGAGGACAUACCUUGCAGCAUGCCGGAUGCAUGGUGAUAAAGAGAGAGCCCAAGAGGCAGCUAGGAUGCUGGUGUUGACAGAGGAGUCUGAGAGCGGUGGGUGGGUGCUGCUAGCGAAUACAUAUGGUUGGGAGGGAAACUUUGAGGAACUGGAGGAGGUGAGGAGGGAGAUGAAACGGCGAGGAGUACAGAAGGCUGCACCAGGCUGCAGCUGGGUUGAGGUGGGGGGAGAUAAUAGUGGGAGUGGAGCAGUGAUGCAUGCUUUUGUCAGCGGAGAUAGGAGACAUCCUGAGGCUAACAUGAUCUACGAAAUGUUACACUCGUUGAUAAGUUGGAUGAGGGAUUGCAGCCACCUGAGUAGCACAACCCCAUUAUAUUCCGUAGAACUCCCAUGACUAUUUAUAUUUUGUUACAUAAGUCAUUACGAGCUUGCGCAGCCAUGAAGUUGCUGUAAUGAUCAGCGUCUUGGAUAUAUCCCAUCCGCCCAUGGUGGAUCGGACGGUGGAGAUAGCUCGUGGAGGCAAGUUUGGGAGUGUGGGAUUUGUUGAUGGAUGUGAUUUCGAUUGCCUCGUGUAGGAUGGAGAUUGUGAUCGGAACUAACUACCUUCAAGGCACAGCUAUCUCUUUGUUUAUGAAGCUGAUCUGUGCAGAAACCAGCAUGGUUAUGCUGGCAUUUCAGAUUGUUUUUUUAGGCUGCAAACUGUUAAUGUGGAUAAUAGCAAUGCAGAGGGUUCAACAACCAUCAAUCCCAUCGUGUGUUCUGCCUGCUGUGUUAGAAAUGUUGCUAAGAGUGCACCAAGGGGAGGUGGGAGACGCCAUGCUGGCGGAGGUGGCAGUGGUGGAUCCGGUGGUCGCCGUGGAAAAGAGUGUACUCAGCCAAAGUCCGGUGAAGAACUUGAUGCUGACUCUUGGAGAAAUACCAUGCAGAUGCGAUGCAUACUAACUAGAUCUUCACAGUGUCGAUGUUUCAACAUGAAAUCUGAAGGAUGUUUAUCUGUUUGUUCCUGCUAUUUGUGCUACCAUGUUCAGUGGCAACAACAAAAACCUUGUUUGUGGGGUCUUGGUUUACUGAAUUGUAUGGUUUUAUGUGUGUACAUAGAACUAGAGUUAAGUGUAUGCUGGUGAAAGACUGUUAUUGAAUAUUACUUGGUUGCCGCUUAUGUUCCUUUUACUGCGGAGUGAAGGGCUGCUCGAGUUACUCCACAUACAGAAGUUGCUGAA